rnacentral:rRNA from 1 species
AACGUAGGAGGCGAGCGUUAUCCGGAUUUACUGGGCGUAAAGCGCGUGCAGGUGGUACGGCAAGUUGGAUGUGAAAGCUUCCGGCUAAACUGGGAGAGGUCGUUCAAUACUGCCGAACUAGAGGAUGGGAGAGGAAGGUGGAAUUCCGAGUGUAGUGGUGAAAUGCGUAGAUAUUCGGAGGAACACCAGUGGCGAAAGCGGCCUUCUGGCCCAUUUCUGACACUCAGACGCGAAAGCUAGGGGAGCGAACGGG